rnacentral:lncRNA from 10 species
UACAUGUACCUUUUUCAGUUGAGUGACUGAGGUUCCCACUGUAAAGUCCAGCUUAAACAGAAGAGUAACUACGGAGCUCUUCAGGGAUGCUGGGGCUCCCCUAACAAAUCUGUUUCUCAAUGUGUUCAUGAGAGGUGUGUCUUCUGGAUUCUUCCAGUGUGGGCAAAGAACAUGGACUCACAGACACUGGAUGGCUUGCACAAUGUCUUGAAGCCCCAAAGACUAGGUUGAAAUGCACAUGCAUUUUCACAAUACCACGCUUCCUCAUCUCUGUAAAGCUUACAUUUUAAUCCUCAUACAAGCUUUUGAUGAGGACUGGAGAAUUAUACACUGGAGAAUCAUGAUGUUCCAGGCACUCUUCAUGACACAACUUGCAGAGUCCCUCCAACAUUUCUAUGAUGUGGAUGCUGUCACUUUAUAUAUGAAGAAAAAACAAUUUAUGCUAAGUCAUAUGGGGUGAUAUCUAGCCCAUAGCAAGUGCUCAGUUAAUAUUUAUUGCAUGAAUGAAUAAACCUUUUUUUUUGCUUUGUUUUACAAAUUAAAGCA